CUUUCUUUCUUUCUUUCUCUUUCUUUCUUUUUUAAAAAUGAGGCAUCAUAGUUACUAGGUCAGGCUCUAAGCAGCUAGGACCUAACCAUUGGGGGCGGGGGGGUGUCUUCUUAUUUUUAGUCCUUUUAUUUUUGACUUUUUCAUCUCCAUUUUUUUGAGAGCCUGGCUGUCUGGCCUUAGAACCCCCUGUUAGAACCCCUGGCAUGGCUGUGUAGUCAUCCCAGAACAUUCUAAUCUUCCCACAGGGAAACCCUGAGUUCACUACUCCUCGGGACAUCAGUCACCAUCCCUGUGGCCUGCUGUCCCUGGCUUAGCCCUGCCUGCUUCCACUCAUUCUGACAUCAGGGUGCAGCAGAGAGAGAUGGCAGGGGGUGGGGGAGCAGCUUCUGCCAUCUGGGAACUCCACAGAGGUCAGAAGUCACUGUGAAAUGGGCUGGAGGCUGUCAUGAGACUGUCCUUCUCGCUGAGGCCAUGCGUAAGACCCCUCCUGUCGGAUAGGGAGCCUCGAGAUCUCUUCUGCCUCAUGGACUCUAACCGCAUCUCUCUGACGUUAUGCUUUUCUAUUAACAAUACAUUGAGGCUACUUCUGUUCCUGCCCAGAGGCACGAGCAUGUGUCCUCAAACCCAACGACUGAUGUCCUCUAUGGCUACUCCAGGCUCUGUGGUCAGAUGCUGCCCAAAUCCCUGCCCCCGCCUCUCAGUUGCCCUGGUACCACCCUCCUCAGUGUCUGAAGGACAGGAUACAUCCUACUCAGUCAGAAUGCAUAGAGGUACCACGGUGUUUUGGGAUGCAGUCCUCCAGAGCAAAGCAGCGGCCAUUCUCCACAGGUGUCUGCGCCUGCGUGCAAGCAACCAUCUCUGUAGGGUCUGUUGACUAAGGAUGCUUCCUCAUAGAAGAAGCGGGUUGAGAAGCUCUUUCGAUGCUCACCUGAAGUUCCAGCUACUUGGCCCCAGCCAUUUGGUGACCCCGCCCUGAACUGCUGGCAGUGAGUCUGUUCCAAGCUCCAGUGAGGGGGGGCAUCUGCCCACUUGGGGCUUCUGUCCAAGGUGGUGCAGAAAGAAGUCUGGUCACAAUUGGCUACAGCGAACAAGCCGGGUACCCCAAAGACAUCUCACCAGUUCCAGCCAGAGAUCUGAUCUACGUGCUACAUCUGCGUCAUGCUGAGACCCUCAAGCCUCACUAGAAGGGUCCCUGCCUAGUCCUGUUCACUAUCCCUUCUUAUUCUGUUUUUGUUCCCAUGCUAAAAAUAGAGUAAAUGCAGUACAGCUUAUGAUCUUCCAGCGUCAAUACCAACCUAUAGUUAAGAUAGAAAAAGAGUAUGAUUUCUAUCCUCCACAUAGAGAUAUAGACUUCUGAAAUUCUAAGAUUAGAAUUACUUAGUAGAAGA